CCUAUACAUUUGGAUCAUUUUCAUAGUCAAAAUAGCUGUAUUUCUUGUUCAAAUAACAACGGGAGACGAGAAUCAUGGAGGCUGAGGCAGUGACAGGGAGUGCCUCUCAGGGCGUGCGUGUGAGAGUGUGCACCACUCACACACUGUACUGAGCGCAGCCAGUACUUUUGCCUCAAAGAUGGGGCGAUAGUGAGCCUGCGGCUAAUCCUUCACGACACGAGUAAAUGCGAGAGUAAAUUAAGAAGAAAAAAAA